rnacentral:rRNA from 1 species
GAUGAACGCUGGCGGCGUGCUUAAUACAUGCAAGUCGAACGGACAGGCCCGGCUCUUGCGGUGUGCUCGUGUGGCGAGCGGGUGAGUAACACGCGUGUAACCUGCCCCUGUCUUUGGGAUAACUUCUGGAGACUGGGGCUCAUAUCGCAUAGGAGCUUCUGAUGCGUGGGGGGGGAUGGAAAGUUACGGCGGUGGGGGAUGGACUGGCGGGUUAUCAGCUUGUUGGUGGGGUAGGGAAGUACAAAGGCUGUGAAGGGUAGCCGGCAUGAGAGGUUGGCCGGCCACCAGAGGCCUGCGAGACGGCCCAGUCGCCUACGUUAGGCAGCAGUGGGGAGUAUGGCGCAGUGGGCGGAAGCCUGAUGCAGCGACCCCGCGUGCGGGAUGACCGCCUUCGGGUUGUAAACCGCUUUCUCCGGUGACGAACAGUUAGUGACGGUAAUUGGUAAAGAAGCACCGGCUAACUACGUG